rnacentral:rRNA from 1 species
GAUGAACGCUGGCGGCGUGCCUAAUACAUGCAAGUCGAGCGAACAGACGAGGAGCUUGCUCCUCUGACGUUAGCGGCGGACGGGUGAGUAACACGUGGAUAACCUACCUAUAAGACUGGGAUAACUUCGGGAAACCGGAGCUAAUACCGGAUAAUAUAUUGAACCGCGUGGUUCAAUAGUGAAAGACGGUUUUGCUGUCACUUAUAGAUGGAUCCGCGCCGCAUUAGCUAGUUGGUAAGGUAACGGCUUACCAAGGCGACGAUGCGUAGCCGACCUGAGAGGGUGAUCGGCCACACUGGAACUGAGACACGGUCCAGACUCCUACGGGAGGCAGCAGUAGGGAAUCUUCCGCAAUGGGCGAAAGCCUGACGGAGCAACGCCGCGUGAGUGAUGAAGGUCUUCGGGUCGUAAAACUCUGUUAUUAGGGAAGAACAAAUGUGUAAGUAACUAUGCACGUCUUGACGGUACCUAAUCAGAAAGCCACGGCUAACUACGUG